rnacentral:lncRNA from 1 species
GAAUGCGAUAGUAUGUUAGCAUGAAUUCCAUGUACUCAGUUGUUCAGUCUUUUAAAUUACCUUGAUUGUCAAUGAUAAACGGUAGCUGAAAAUCAAUGAUAGAUUGUUAUGUGUUGGGCCUGUGGAUGUAGACUUGUAGUGUUUGCCGUGGAUUUGCUCCUGUAGAUUACGUUUGGUGUGAGAGCUGAUAAAAGAGAAAUGGCUCGUUAUUCAUGGUGUAGUAUUUUGUGUGAGGAUAAGUUGUUAUAGAAGGUGAGUUUAGUUUUUUUUUUCUUUAAUUCUUUUAUUUUUAGUUUAACGGUCCAUUUAUUCAUGGGUGUUAACAUUUUGAGUCAAUGGUUUGUGAUAAGUUUUGAUGUUUUGUCUACGUUGAGUUGUUACUUAUUCCGAAUGUAAAAUGAUGUAUAGUGUGUAUUUGUAUGAGAGCUGGAUAAUAUUAGUUAUUUUUUGUAUUUGUAUCUCAUAAUGAGGUUUUUCUUAGUAUAAUAGAUGUUCGUUUAGAAAUAUAUUUGUUUUUUUUUGCAGACGGUGGGCCCGUGUCAGUUAUACCGAGAACUCUUCAUGUAGUGUAGUUUAUAUGUAUGUAGGUUCUGUUUUGGUUUUUGUGAGAUAGAAUGAGGGGAUUUUUUUAUUUAAUUUGAUAGUGAAAGUAGAAAUACAAAAUGUAUAUGGUUG